rfam:Triticum urartu cultivar G1812 contig428992, whole genome shotgun sequence.
AUACCUUUCUCGGCCUCUUAGCUAAGAUUAAAUGUAGUAUCUAUUCUUAUCAGUUUAAUAUCUGAUACGUGAAUCUACGGGUUCAUGGGAUAUUAAGUUAUUUUUUAUGGGAGAGCAAGCGUUGCACUAGUGCUUGGAACAGGUGCACCCCAACCAAAACAAAGAUUACAAUCUUGACCUUGGUUAAGUCCA